ACAUCCAACCCAAACAUUCCUGACCACUCAGAAACUGCAGGACACCAUGGUAGCAUGCAAUGUGGACAUGGAUCACUGACCAUAACCUUCAGAGAUCACCCCAACCUCUCUCUCCUGCUUCUUACCUUUAGGGAACCACAGAAUAUGCCAGGUCUGUCAAACUGCUGGAUAACUGCUAAUCCCCAGAAACAGAGAGGAAUUGCAGCCCAAAUGGGGAGAGGUGCAUAACACCCCCUGUGUCACCCUGCUGCAGUCACCCGGGCAAGAUCAGCCUGAGUGCAGCACAGCACAUUGGUCUUGGUCCACUUCCAUAAGAGCAGCUGAACAGGAUCCCGCAGGACAGCUCCAUAGAAAGGGUUCCAAGCCCAUCUCCCUCAGCAUGAGACUGAGCACUGGGAUUUCAGAGUGCUGCUGGGAUCGCCAGGUGACACAGAAAACCACACGGGUGACUCCAGCAGCUGGCAGAAGGACUUCGCAACUCAGGCAAAACUGCCAGCCCUGAGACAUGGGAGACAGUGCUGGUUUUGGAGGAUGGUGGGAAUUACCUGCAACUGUUAACUGCUUCAAGAUGAUAAAACCUAUUCUGCUUUCUCCUCUGUUCUUUCCAUAAGGCUUCAGAUGCUGUUCAGCCCUUACAAAAGAUACAACUUUGGACAAUGGGGGAAACCCAAGCAUUUGCUGCUGAACAAUGGCAUCUAUUCAAGCCUCAGCCUAGCUCUGCUUGUUAAUUACAAAAGUAAACAAAGAAAAAUAGAAUUUAA